UGUCAUGUCUGUGCGCUGGUCACUGUCCGAUCAAGGGGGCCGCCUUGAGUGGACAUCGGCGCCUGGGGAACAGUGUUUUGGCGCCAUCAAGUGAAAACACUCUACAGAGCAACUAACUCCUGCCUCAAGAUAUGGACAGCAGCGUGGGACUGACGGAGAAGAACAGUUAUCAUGUUACCACCAUGACCCUCAGAGAUCUGUGAGGAAAAGCCAGAGGAGAGGACGGCAUAAUGGUGACUGGGAUAAAAGGAGAGUCAACAGAUCUGAGAUCAGUCAGAAGCGAGCUCCAUGCUGUUCUACUGAUGGAUGGAGGCUUCCUAUUACUGACCUCCAUAGAGGCUAAACACUGAGCACGGCUUAACUGUCUACGAGAAUGUAUCAGUCUCAAGCUUGUGACUUUUGAAAAAUAUUAUUAAAAUGUUCAAUAAAACUAUAGAGCAUGUGGCAGUCCAGCUGUAUUGAAAUCCUUGCGAAUGGAAUUUCACCAAUUUGUAAGUCGCUCUGGAUAAGAGCGUCUGCUAAAUGACUUAAAUGUAAAUGUCAUCGUUUAACAAAGUUUAAGAAAAUGUAUGUUUAGAGUUUAACAGAUGCCAAAGACUGGAAGCUGCUCUAUACUUAGUCCACUAAAAACACAACAAUCAAAUGAAAAUCUAAUUUUAUUGGUCACGUACACAUAUUUUGCAGAGGUUAAUCGCAGGGGCAGAGAAAUGCUUAUAUUCCUAGUUCCAACAGUGUAGCAUACAUAACAACACACACAAAUAGUCAUUUUUGAAUGACUACCUCAUCUCUGUACCCCACACAUUCAGAUAAUUGUAUGGCCCCUCAGUCGAGCAGUGAAUUUCAAACAGAAUCAACCACAAAGACCAGGGAGAUUUUCCAAUGCCUCGUAAAGAAAAGCACCUAUUGGUAGAUGGGUCAAAAUAAAAUAAGCAGACAUUGAAUAUCCCUUUCAGCAUGGUAAAGUUAUGAUUUACACUUUGGAUGGUGUAUCAAUACACCCAGUCACUGCAAAGAUACAGGCGUCCUUCCUAACUCCGUUACCGGAGAGGAAAGAAACCACUCAGAGAUUUAACUAUGAGGACAAUGAUGACUUUAAAACAUAGUUUAAAAGGGAUACUUUGGGAUGCUAGCAGAUACCCAUAGACGUCCAAUCAUUGUGCCAACGCUAGUUAGCAUUGGCUCAUGAAACUACCUCAAACGUCCUUCAUACUAGACAGAGACGAGUUCAUUUGACUCUGGGGGAGUAGAUUAGGGGCCUCAUUAACAGGAUACUUUGGGAUUUUGGCAAACUAACUGUUUUAAAGUCACCAUUUGCCUCAUGGUUAAGUCCCUGGCAGUUUCCUUCCUCUCCGGCAACUGAGUUAGGAAGAACGCUUGUAUCUUUGCAGUGACUGGGUGGGGAAGUACAUAAAAGGCCUCAAUGCCAAAAUCUCCAAGUUGAAAGGAGAAAACUGAGGAUGGAUCAAAAACAUUGUAGUUAUUACUCCACAAUACUAACCUAAUUCACAUAGUGAAAAGAAGGAAGCCUGAACAGAAUAAAACAUAUCCAUAACAUGUCUGUAACAAGGCACUAAAGUAAUACUGCAAACAAUGUGGCAAAGCAAUUAAUUUUGUCCUGAAUACAAAGUGUUGUGUUUGGGGAAAAUCCAAUACUACCUAUUAGCGAGUACCACUCUCCAUAUUUUCAAGCAAAGUGGUGACUGCAUCAUGUUAUGGGUACAGUGCCUUGCAAAAGUAUUCAUCCUCUUUGGCGUUUUUCCUAUAUUGUUGCAUUACAACCUGUAAUUUAAAAGGAUUUUUAUUUGGAUUCAUUGUAAUAGACAUAAAUGAUAUAGUCCAAAUUGGUGAAGUGAAAUGCAA